rnacentral:rRNA from 1 species
CCUACGGGUGGCAGCAGUGAGGAAUAUUGGACAAUGGGCGAAACCCUGAUCCAGCCACGCCGCGUGAAGGAAGAAGUAUUUCGGGCUGUAAAGCUCUUUCAGCAGGGAAGAAGAUGACGGUACCUGAGUCAGACGCCCCGGCCAUCUACGUACCCGCCGCCGCAGUAAUACGUAGGGGGCACGGGUUAGCCGGAUUUACUGGGUGUAAAGGGAGCGUAGACGGUGAGACAAGUCUGAAGUGAAGGCCCGGGGCUCAACCGCUGGACUGCCUUUGAAACUGGCUGACUGGAGUGCUGGCGAGGUGAGCGGAAUUCGUAGUGUAGCGGUGAAAUGCGUAGAUAUUAGGAAGAACACCAGUUGCGAAGGCGGCUUGCUGGACAGUAACUGACGUUGAGGCUCGAAAGCGUGGGUAGCAAACAGGAUUAGAUACCCGAGUAGUC